CACGUAGGGAGCAAGCGUUGUCCGGAUUUAUUGGGCGUAAAGAGCUCGUAGGUGGUUCGGUAAGUCAGGUGUGAAACCUCCAGGCUCAACCUGGAGACGCCACUUGAUACUGCUGUGACUGGAGUCCGGUAGGGGAGCGUGGAGUUCCUGGUGUAGCGGUGAAAUGCGCAGAUAUCAGGAGGAACACCAGCGGCGAAGGCGGCGCUCUGGGGCCGGUACUGACACUGAGGAGCGAAAGCGUGGGUAGCAAACAGG
rnacentral:rRNA from 1 species